rnacentral:rRNA from 1 species
CCCCAGACUCCUACGGGAGGCAGCAGUGGGGAAUAUUGCACAAUGGGGGGAACCCUGAUGCAGCGACGCCGCGUGAGUGAAGAAGUAUUUCGGUAUGUAAAGCUCUGUCAGCAGGGAAGAAGAAAGACGGUACCUGACCAAGAAGCCCCGGCUAACUACGUGCCAGCAGCCGCGGUAAUACGUAGGGGGCAAGCGUUAUCCGGAUUUAUUGGGUUUAAAGGGUGCGCAGGCGGAGGUGCAAGUCAGCGGUCAAAUUGCGGGGCUCAACCCCGUACUGCCGUUGAAACUGCAUCCCUUGAGUGCGCGAGAAGUAUGCGGAAUGCGUGGUGUAGCGGUGAAAUGCAUAGAUAUCACGCAGAACUCCGAUUGCGAAGGCAGCAUACCGGCGCGCAACUGACGCUCAUGCACGAAAGCGUGGGUAUCGAACAGGAUUAGAUACCCUGGUA